GGGGAUAGAGCUUAGUUGGUAGAGUGCUUGCCUGAAAUGCACAAAGCCCUGGGUUCAAUCCCCAGCACCACCA
rnacentral:tRNA from 1 species